rnacentral:tRNA from 1 species
GCGCCCGAUUAAGCGGCAAGCCGUUGGUUGAAAAAGAAAAUUUUAAAGCCGACAUGAGGGGUGCGUGCUUGGAUGCUAAACUACGAAUCUGGGGGUCAGAGGUUCGAAUCCUUUCGGGCGCGCCA